CCUACGGGAGGCAGCAGUAGGGAACCUUCCACAAUGGGCGAAAGCCUGAUGGAGCAACGCCGCGUGAGUGAGGAAGGCUUUCGGGUCGUAAAGCUCUGUUGCCAGGGAAGAAUAAGGGCGUGUUAACUGCACGCCUGAUGACGGUACCUGAGAAGAAAGCCCCGGCUAACUACGUGCCAGCAGCCGCGGUAAUACGUAGGGGGCAAGCGUUGUCCGGAAUUAUUGGGCGUAAAGCGCGCGCAGGCGGUUCUUUAAGUCUGGUGUCUAAGUGCGGGGCUCAACCCCGUGAUGCACUGGAAACUGGGGAACUUGAGUGCAGAAGAGGAGAGCGGAAUUCCACGUGUAGCGGUGAAAUGCGUAGAGAUGUGGAGGAACACCAGUGGCGAAGGCGGCUCUCUGGACUGUAACUGACGCUGAGGCGCGAAAGCGUGGGGAGCAAACAGGAUUAGAUACCCUGGUAGUCCACGCUGUAAACGAUGAGUGNUAGGUGUUGGGGUUAGUNAUNCCUCGUGCGAGUAACACAUAAGNACNCCGCGNGGGAGGUAACGGUCGCGAGAGUAGAAACGUUAAAGAAAGUUAAGUUAGGCGGNGAGAGAGCGACGACGACGACGACGGAGGGAGGAG
rnacentral:rRNA from 1 species